CAAAUAUCAUGACUCUAGGCCUGUCCGUUCUUCAGAAGAACAGGCUGGGGAAUUUACAACACAGAGGAAAGUCACCAAUGUGCAUAGAUGCUGUCUAAAGUGAUUAUGAUGUCAUUAUUUGAUGAUUACUUCAAUAUUCACUCUUUCAUUGUAAAUGUAGCAACCAAUAAAUUAUGUGACAUUAAUCAGAA